rnacentral:rRNA from 1 species
AGAGCGAACGCUGGCGGCAGGCCUAAUACAUGCAAGUCGAACGGACCCUUCGGGGUUAGUGGCGGACGGGUGAGUAACACGUGGGAACGUGCCCUUUGGUUCGGAACAACUCAGGGAAACUUGAGCUAAUACCGAAUGUGCCCCCAUUUUAAACAAGAUGGGUGGGAAAGAUUUAUCGCCAUUGGAGCGGCCCGCGUCUGAUUAGCUAGUUGGUGAGGUAAAGGCUCACCAAGGCGACGAUCAGUAGCUGGUCUGAGAGGAUGAUCAGCCACACUGGGACUGAGACACGGCCCAGACUCCUACGGGAGGCAGCAGUAGGGAAUCUUGCGCAAUGGGCGAAAGCCUGACGCAGCCAUGCCGCGUGAAUGAUGAAGGUCUUAGGAUUGUAAAAUUCUUUCAGCGGGGACGAUAAUGACGGUACCCGCAGAAGAAGCCCCGGCUAACUUCGUGCCAGCAGCCGC